GAGGUGGGCGGGGGGUAACGAAUAUUUUUAGCGCGAGGAGGGCAGAUACAAAGAGUUAGGGAACCACAUGAUCUAGAGAAAGAAGCGGCGGUGCACAGUGGCGUUACAAGGUCAGCAUGCAAAGAUGAAGCGGACUGUAGCUGUGUUGUGUCUGUCCCUUCUUUUGGUUCAUUUUUCACUGGCCAAGAAAAAGGGAGGGUUUGGUGGGAAAUUAAAUAUCUUUAAGAAGACCCCCAAACA